rnacentral:rRNA from 1 species
UAAUACGUAGGGUGCGAGCGUUAAUCGGAAUUACUGGGCGUAAAGCGUGCGCAGGCGGUUCGUUAAGUUCGUUGUGAAAGCCCCGGGCUCAACCUGGGAACGGCAAUGGAAACUGGCGGGCUCGAGUGUGGCAGAGGGGGGUGGAAUUCCACGUGUAGCAGUGAAAUGCGUAGAGAUGUGGAGGAACACCGAUGGCGAAGGCAACCCCCUGGGCUAACACUGACGCUCAGGCACGAAAGCGUGGGGAGCAAACAGGAUUAGAUACCCUGGUAGUCCACGCCCUAAACCAUGUCAACUGGGUGUUGGGGGAGCGAUUCCUCAGUACCGCAGCUAACGCGUGAAGUUGACCGCCUGGGGAGUACGGCCGCAAGGUUA